CAAAUGACUCUCGGCAAUGGAUAUCUCGGCUCUUGCAUCGAUGAAGAACGUAGUGAAAUGCGAUACUUGGUGUGAAUUGCAGAAUCUCGUGAACCAUUGAGUCUUUGAACGCAAGUUGUGCCCGAGGCUUCGCGGCCGAGGGCACGCCUGCUUGGGCGUCAUGG
rnacentral:rRNA from 3 species